GCGGAAGUGGCGGAAUUGGUAGACGCGCUGGAUUUAGGUUCCAGUAUCUUCGGAUGUGAGAGUUCAAGUCUCUCCUUCCGCACCA
rnacentral:tRNA from 19 species